rnacentral:rRNA from 1 species
GCAGAAAAUUUAGCCCUAUUUUACUAAUGAAAAAAAUUUUUAUUUACUUAAACUAAAACAUUCUAAAAGCCCAGUAAAGGAGAUUAAAAAGCUUAAAGGAGCUAUAAAACAAGUACCGCAAGGGAAAAAUGAAAUAAAAAUGAAACAAAAUUUAAGCAUAAAAAAGUAGAGUUUCCCUCUCGUACCUUUUGCAUCAUGGUUUAACUAGCCUAAUCAAGCAAAAAGAACUAAAGUUUGACUUCCCGAAACUAAGUGAGCUACUUCAAGGCAGCUUAAUGAGCCAACCCGUCUCUGUUGCAAAAGAGUGGGAAGACCUUCAAGUAGGGGUGAUAGACCUACCGAACUUAGUGAUAGCUGGUUAUUCAAGAAAAGAAUAUUAGUUCAGCUUAAAAUCUCUCCGAUUAAAUAAAAUCUUAUCAAGAUUUUUAAGUAAUUCAAAUAAGGUACAGCCUAUUUGAAUUAGGGUACAACCUCUUCUAACGGGUAAUCUUUUAUCUUUAAAGAUAAGUAGGCCUAAUAGCAGCCAACUUUAAAAAAGCGUCAUAGCUUACCUUUACAGAAAUUUAAUUCCUUAAUUAAUAUAAAACCCUUUAUUUUUAUUGAAUACUUCUAUACCUCUAUAGAACAUUUUAUGUUAAAACUAGUAACAAGAAGACAGAACUUCUCUUUAAUAUCCGCGUAAAUCAGUAAGGACUAACCACUGAUAUUUAACGCCUAUGAACAGGAAGUAGUAACACUUCAAGAAAAAUCUACUUAAUUAACCGUUAACCUUACACAAGAGUAUUUAAAGAAAGAUUAAAAGAAAAGGAAGGAACUCGGCAAACAUUAACCUCGCCUGUUUACCAAAAACAUCGCCUCUUGUUUCCCAUAAGAGGUCUAGCCUGCCCAGUGACUCAUUUCAACGGCCGCGGUAUCCUAACCGUGCGAAGGUAGCGUAAUCACUUGUUCUUUAAAUGAGGACUAGUAUGAACGGCAUCACGAGGGUUAUACUGUCUCCCUUUUUUAAUCAGUGAAACUAAUCUUCCCGUGAAGAAGCGGGAAUUCAAUUAUAAGACGAGAAGACCCUAUGGAGCUUUAAACUAGACGGCAAUUAUUAUACAUUACUUCCCUUCAGGUAAAUAAUUAUUUUAAUAUUAUGCUCACCGGUUUUUGGUUGGGGUGACCACGGAGAAUAAAAUAACCUCCGCGAUAAAAGAAAUUUAAUUUCUUAACUCAGAAUUACGAUUCUAAGUACCAAAAAUUUGAUAUACAUUGACCCAAUUUAUUGAUCAACGAACCAAGUUACCCUAGGGAUAACAGCGCAAUCCACUUCAAGAGCCCUUAUCGACAAGUGGGUUUACGACCUCGAUGUUGGAUCAGGGUAUCCCAGUGGUGCAGCCGCUACUAAAGGUUCGUUUGUUCAACGAUUAAAAC